rnacentral:rRNA from 1 species
GACGAACCGUGCGAACGUUGUUCGGAUUCACUGGGCUUAAAGGGCGCGUAGGCGGGCGGUCAAGUCAGGGGUGAAAUCUUUCGGCUCAACCGGAAAAGUGCCUUUGAUACUGGCCGUCUCGAGGGAGGUAGGGGCAUGCGGAACUUCCGGUGGAGCGGUGAAAUGCGUUGAGAUCAGAAGGAACGCCGGUGGCGAAAGCGGCGGACUGGAUCUCUUCUGACGCUGAGGCGCGAAAGCUAGGGGAGCAAACGGG